CAUCACAAAAGCUGACACAGAUGAUUUCCCUCCGCGGGGGACACAAAAUCAUGUGUUGCAGGCUACCUGAAGCCUAUCCCAGCUGACUUACGGCAAGAGACGGGGUACUUCAUGGGCGGAGCUGAGAGGGGCACUCGAGCGGGGUGAGACCAGUGGAAUAUAUGUGCCGAGG